UAACCUUUGGAGAGGCGAGCAGGACAUCUGCAGAACUGUCAGCGCUCUGACAAGGACAGAGCUGAACAACCAAUUAUUCCACCAUCACUAAGGCCUCUUGGCUUGGAAUUACUCGGAGUAAAGCUGGCCAAGCUUGAUGAACGAUCUCUGAAAUGACUCCGUAAGCGGGCCGGGAUCCGCACCCUGUUUGGUGCUGACAGAAGAAGAUUAAUACAGGGGCUGCCUCCUGCAGCCUCGUUAAUAAAUAUUCACGGAGACGCCCUGCAGAGAGAUCUGAUUCGGAUUCUGCAGGCAUCGGGCAGCCUGACCGUGAACCACAGGGA